GAAAAGAGGCCUCUUAACAAUGCUCCUGCUUUUAGAUGAGUCUGCGUCUGAUUAGCUAGAUGGUGGGGUAACGGCUUACCAUGGCGACGAUCAGUAGUCGGCCUGAGAGGGUGACCGGCCACAUUGGGACUGAGACACGGCCCAAACUCCUACGGGAGGCAGCAGUGGGGAAUCUUCCGCAAUGGGCGAAAGCCUGACGGAGCAACGCCGCGUGAUCGAAUGAAGGCCUUCGGGUUGUAAAGAUCUGUUGACAGGGACGAAUAAGCAAUGCGAAUAGUUUUGUGUAUGACGGUACCUGUUUAGAAAGCUCCGGCUAACUACGUGCCAGCAGCCGCGGUAAUACGUAGGGAGCAAGCGUUGUCCGGAAUUACUGGGCGUAAAGGGCGCGUAGGUGGGCGCUUAAGUCAGGUGUGAAAACUCCGGGCUCAACCUGGAGACUGCACUUGAAACUGGGUGUCUUGAGGGCAGGAGAGGAAAGUGGAAUUCCUAGUGUAGCGGUGAAAUGCGUAGAUAUUAGGAGGAACACCAGUGGCGAAGGCGACUUUCUGGACUGUACCUGACGCUGAGGCGCGAAAGCGUGGGUAGCGAACGGGAUUAGAUACCCCGGUAGUCCACGCCGUAAACGAUGAAUACUAGGUGUAGGAGGUAUCGACUCCUUCU
rnacentral:rRNA from 1 species